rnacentral:rRNA from 1 species
UACGUAGGGUGCAAGCGUUGUCCGGAAUUAUUGGGCGUAAAGAGCUCGUAGGCGGUCUGUCACGUCGGAUGUGAAAACUCGGGGCUCAACCCCGAGCCUGCAUACGAUACGGGCAGACUUGAGUUCGGCAGGGGAGACUGGAAUUCCUGGUGUAGCGGUGAAAUGCGCAGAUAUCAGGAGGAACACCGGUGGCGAAGGCGGGUCUCUGGGCAGUAACUGACGCUGAGGAGCGAAAGCGUGGGGAGCGAACAGG